rnacentral:rRNA from 1 species
UACGUAGGGAGCAAGCGUUGUCCGGAAUCAUUGGGCGUAAAGCGCGCGUAGGUGGCCCCAUAAGUCCGCUGUGAAAGUCAAAGGCUCAACCUUUGAAAGCCGGUGGAUACUGUGGGACUAGAGUACGGAAGAGGCGAGUGGAAUUCCUGGUGUAGCGGUGGAAUGCGCAGAUAUCUGGAGGAAUACCGGUGGCGAAGGCGGCAUCCUGGACCAUAACUGACGCUGAGGCGCGAAAGCUAGGGGAGCAAACGGG